GGGGCCCCCGUGGCGUCGCAGGCGGCGGCGUACACGCGUAGGAGCAGCGCGAGCGAGCGGGAGGCCGAGACGCGCGCGCAGCAGCGGUUGAACCCCCUGAGGAACGGGACCCACCCGGCGUCCCCCGCGGCGGCUCCGUCGGCGGAGAAGAGGGAGGCGAUAGCGGGGCCGAGCCGCGCGAGGAGGUCGUGGAAGUGGGGCGGCGGCGGGGAUCCGGGUAGGCGGAAGGAGGCGCGCGGCGGGGCGAGCGCGUCCGGCAGCGCGCCGGCGUCGGCGGCGGUGCGGGUGAAGGCGGCGCGGAGG
rnacentral:lncRNA from 1 species